rnacentral:rRNA from 1 species
CAGUAGCCACGGGAAUACAGAGGGUGCGAGCGUUAAUCGGAUUUACUGGGCGUAAAGCGUGCGUAGGCGGCUUCUUAAGUCGGAUGUGAAAUCCCUGAGCUUAACUUAGGAAUUGCAUUCGAUACUGGGAAGCUAGAGUAUGGGAGAGGAUGGUAGAAUUCCAGGUGUAGCGGUGAAAUGCGUAGAGAUCUGGAGGAAUACCGAUGGCGAAGGCAGCCAUCUGGCCUAAUACUGACGCUGAGGUACGAAAGCAUGGGGAGAAAACAGGAUUAGAUACCCCAGUAGUCCCUGUCUCUUAUAA